rnacentral:rRNA from 1 species
UACGAAGGGGGCUAGCGUUGCUCGGAAUCACUGGGCGUAAAGCGCACGUAGGCGGUCUUUUUAAGUCAGGGGUGAAAUCCUGGAGCUCAACUCCAGAACUGCCUUUGAUACUGGAUGCCUGGAGUUCGGGAGAGGUGAGUGGAAUUCCGAGUGUAGAGGUGAAAUUCGUAGAUAUUCGGAGGAACACCAGAAGCGAAGGCGGCUCACUGGCCCGAUACUGACGCUGAGGCGCGAAAGCGUGGGGAGCAAACAGG